rnacentral:rRNA from 1 species
AUUGAACGCUGGCGGCAGGCCUAACACAUGCAAGUCGAGCGGAGCGGCGGACGGGUGAGGAAGGCCUAGGAAUCUGCCUGGUGGUAGGCGAUAACGUCCAGAGGCGGGCGCUAAUACCGCAUAAUAUAAGAGGAGUCUAGGUCGGAUUAGCUAGUUGGUGGGGUAACGGCUCACCAAGGCGACGAUCCCUAGCUGGUCUGAGAGGAGGACCAGCCAAACUGGAACUGAGACACGGUCCAGACUCCUACGGGAGGCAGCAGUGGGGAAUAUUGCACAAUGGGCGAAAGCCUGAUGCAGCCAUGCCGCGUGUAUGAAGAAGGCCUUCGGGUUGUAAAGUACUGUCAGCGGGGAGGCGUUACCCGCAGAAGAAGCACCGGCUAACUCCGUGCCAGCAGCCGCGGUAAUAC